AGUGAACGCUGGCGGUAGGCCUAACACAUGCAAGUCGAACGGCAGCACAGGAGAGCUUGCUCUCUGGGUGGCGAGUGGCGGACGGGUGAGGAAUACAUCGGAAUCUACUUUUUCGUGGGGGAUAACGUAGGGAAACUUACGCUAAUACCGCAUACGACCUACGGGUGAAAGCAGGGGACCUUCGGGCCUUGCGCGAUUGAAUGAGCCGAUGUCGGAUUAGCUAGUUGUCGGGGUAAAGGCCCACAAAGGCGAAGAUCCGUAGCAGGUCUGAGAGGAUGAUCAGCCACACUGGAACUGAGACACGGUCCAGACUCCUACGGUAGGCAGCAGUGGGGAAUAUUGGACAAUGUGCGCAAGCCUGAUCCAGCCAUACCGCGUGGGUGAAGAAGGCCUUCGGGUUGUAAAGCCCUUUUGUUGGGAAAGAAAUCCAGCUGGCUAAUACCCGGUUGGGAUGACGGUACCCAAAGAAUAAGCACCGGCUAACUUCGUGCCAGCCGCCGCCGUAA
rnacentral:rRNA from 1 species